GUGAAGAUGGGAUUAUAUAUGGAAGAGAUUUAUUGGGCAAAACUUGUGUGAAAGAUAAAAAAAGAGAACAGAAGCUUGGCAAGAGUCUUCAGACCCAGAGGCAGGUCUGACAGCAGUGAAAGGGGAGAAGGAAGGAAGGACGGCUUGGUUAGAAGAGCCUCAGACUACAGUGCAGUUCUGAGAAAGUUUAGCUAUGUGGAUGGAAUCCUGAGUCUUCAGCUUGGUCCUCUUUAUCCAGUUGAGAGAAGGAAGAGAGAAUACAAGGAAUUAUGUGGAAGGUUUUGGGGGACAGGCUUAGAAGUGACAUACGUCACUCCCAUCUACAUUCCAUUGCCUAGGAGGCAGCUAACACCACUGCAAGGAUGUCUGGAAAUGAAGAGAAGCAAUGGAUACUGGCGCUAAGACCACCAGUGUUCUGCCACAUGCAUGAUAUAUCCUUUCAGUAGAAUAUUAUGCAGAUAUUUACAAGUGUCUUUAAAACUCAUUUCUAAUUUCCUUAAAAGCUACAGUGAUACUUUUUGUUUCAAUGGUGCUUAUUCUUCAUAUUUACCCACAUGUUGGAAUGAUGACCGCCCAUGAUACUGGAUCCCUUAAGAUCAUAAGGAAGUGCAACAUUAACCUGCUUUCUACUUCCCCCUGAGUCCAAGUCAGGCGGACUCAGUGCAGGAGAGAAGACACACAUGCCAUUUCCACUCUGUACAGCGAGCUGGGUACACAAGGAUAUAUUGUGAUUUGGGGGCUGGUUGCUCCCAUAAGUCAUAUCUCUCCCAUGCCCAUUGUCUUCUUCACUCUUGAAUUUACUUAUCAACUCCCUGUGAAAAUAAUUGUAGAGGUCUGAGAAAAUUAAUAAAGUGA